rnacentral:rRNA from 1 species
CCUACGGGUGGCAGCAGUGAGGAAUAUUGGUCAAUGGGCGGGAGCCUGAACCAGCCAAGUCGCGUGAGGGAUGACGGUCCUACGGAUUGUAAACCUCUUUUGCCAGGGAGCAACGGAGUCCUUGCGUGGGCUCAGUGAGAGUACCCGGAGAAAAAGCAUCGGCUAACUCCGUGCCAGCAGCCGCGGUAAUACGGAGGAUGCGAGCGUUAUCCGGAUUUAUUGGGUUUAAAGGGUGCGUAGGCGGGCUGUCAAGUCAGCGGUAAAAGGUCGGGGCUCAACCCCGGCCUGCCGUUGAAACUGGUGGCCUCGAGUGGGCGAGAAGUAUGCGGAAUGCGUGGUGUAGCGGUGAAAUGCAUAGAUAUCACGCAGAACUCCGAUUGCGAAGGCAGCAUACCGGCGCCCGACUGACGCUGAGGCACGAAAGCGUGGGUAUCGAACAGGAUUAGAUACCCGGGUAGUC